rnacentral:rRNA from 1 species
UCAUAUGCUUGUCUUAAAGAUUAAGCCAUGCAUGUCUAAGUAUAAGCUUUAUACGGCUAAACUGCGAAUGGCUCAUUAAACAGUUAUAGUUAUUUGAUGGUCUUUACUACAUGGAUAACCGUGGUAAUUCUAUGGCUAAUACAUGCGCACAUGCUCUUCCCCUGGAAGGCAGUGUUUAUUAGAUACAAACCAACCCACCUUCCGGUGGUCCUCAGGUGAUUCAUAUAACGAACGGAUCGCGUUGACUUCGGUCUGCGACGGAUCAUUCAAGUUUCUGACCUAUCAGCUUUCGACGUACUGUAUUGGACUACCGUGGCAGUGACGGGUAACGGGAAUUAGGGUUCGAUUCCGGAGAGGGAGCUGAGAAACGGCUACCACAUCUAAGGAAGGCAGCAGGCGCGCAAAUUACCAAUCCUGAUUCAGGGAGUAGUGACAAGAAUAACAACACUGGAAAUUUCAUUUCUAGUGAUUGGAAUGAUAGGAAUCCAAACCCUUUCAGAGUAACAAUUGAGGGCAAGUCUGGUGCCAGCAGCCGCGGUAAUUCCAGCUCCAAUAGCGUAUAUUAAAGUUGUUGCAGUUAAAAAGCUCGUAGUUGGAUUUCUGCUGGAAGCAGCCAGUCCGCCCUCAGGGUGUGCACUUGGUGAAUUCUAGCAUCCUUCUGGAUUUCUCCACACUUCAUUGUGUGGAGUUUUUUCCAGGACUUUUACUUUGAGAAAAUUAGAGUGUUUCAAGCAGGCUUGUCGCCUUGAAUACUGCAGCAUGGAAUAAUAAGAUAGGAUUUCGGCCCUAUUUUGUUGGUUUCUAGGACUGAAGUAAUGAUUAAUAGGGACCGGUUGGGGGCAUUCGUAUUUAACUGUCAGAGUGAAAUUCUUAGAUUUGUUAAAGACGAACUACUGCGAAGCAUUUGCCAAAGAUGUUUUCAUUAAUCAAGACGAAAGUUAGGGGCUCGAAGACGAUCAGAUACGUCGUAGUCUUAACCAUAAACUAUGCCGACUAGAGAUAGGAAAACGUCAUGCUUGACUUCUCCUGCACCUUAUGAGAAAUCAAAGUCUUGGGUUCUGGGGGAGUAUUGGUCGCAAGGCUGAAACUUAAAGGAAUUGACGGAAGGGCACCACAGGCGUGGAGCCUGCGGCUUAAUUGACUCAACACGGGAAACUCACCAGGUCCAGACAUAGGAAGGAUUGACAGAUUGAUAGCUCUUUCUGAUUCUAUGGGUUGUGGUGCAUGGCCGUUCUUAGUUGUGGAGUGAUUUGUUGGUUAAUUCCGUUAACGAACGAGACCUUAACCUGCUAAAUAGGAUCAGGAACUUCGUGUUCUUGUAUCAACUUCUUAGAGGGACUUUGCGUGUCUAACGCAAGAAGUUUGAGGCAAUAACAGGUCUGGAUGCCCUUAGAUGUUUCUGGCGCUCACGCGCGCUACACUGAUGCAUCCAACGAGGUUUAUAACCUUGGCCGAUAGGUCUAGGUAAUCUGUGAGUAUGCAUCGUGAUGGGGAUAGAUUAUUGCAAUUAUUAACUUUCAACGAGGAAUGCCUAGUAGGCGCAAGUCAGCAGCUUGCGCCGAUUACGUCCCUGCCUUUGUACACACGCCCGUCGCUCCUACCGAUUGAGUGUUCCGGUGAUUAUCGGACCGUUUGUGCGCGUUCGUGCCCGAAAUGGGAAGUUUUGUGAACCUUAACACUUAGAGGAAGGAGAAGUCGUAACAAGGU